rnacentral:lncRNA from 1 species
AUGGGGCGCACAGGUAGGCUUAGGGAAUCCAAGGAUAGGGUUUUGGAUUUUCUCCAGUAAAAGGAUAUCGAAGUAUAUCCGAAACAGGUAUUUCUACACUGGUAAAAUCUACGUAGUCUCAUAAUAACGUGCACAAAUUAUUUACGAAGGAGAUAAAAUAAAUAAGGAGGAAAUAAACACGUUUAUGUCAUUUGCCACUAAGGGCAUAACCGUCAAUACACAUACUCGGGGAUAAAUUAUAUAGGAAAAUUAGGGACGGGUUGUCACAAUCUACCCCCUUAUAAAAAUUUCGUCCCUGAAAUAUCAUCCUUGAUUACAAAUAAAAACCAUAGAACAGAUGUGGAUACGUAUCUCGCAUACGCUCUUCUAUCUCCCAAGUAGCUUCCUCAACUAAGUGGUCUUCCAUAAAACUUUCACCAUCUGCAUGGUCUUGUUCCUAAGAACCUUAUCCUUCCAAUCAAGGAUAGUCACUAGAACCUUAUCAUAGGUCAAAUCUGGAUUGAUCUCUAGCAGUUAAGGAGGGAUCACAUGUGACGGAUCAGAGACAUACCUCUGUAGCAUUGAUACAUGAAACACAUUGUGCACUCUCACCAACUCUGGUGGCAAAGCGAGUCGAUAAGCAACUUCACCAACUCUGGUAUGGUCCGAUGUACCUAGGGCUGAGUUUCCCUUUCUUUCCAAACUGCAACACCUUUCCACGGUGAUAAUUUCAAGAAUACCCAAUCACCAACCUUAUAAACUCUGUUGGUAGAAUGUCUGUCGGUGAUACUCUUCUGCCGAUCCUAGGUCGCUUUCAGGUUAGCCUUUAUCACCUAAAUGUUCUGUGUCGUUUUAUCCACAAUCUCCGAGCCCACCAAAACUUGUUCACCUACCUCAGACCAACAAAGUGGAGUACGACAUGGUUUCCCAUACAACGUUUCAAAUGGUGCCAUAACAAUACUAUAAUGGAAGCUGUUGUUGUAUGCGAACUCUAUCAAUGGUAAGCGUUUGUGCCAAGCGUCUCCAAACUGUAAAACUGACGAUCUCAAAAUAUCUUCCAAUGUCUGCAUAGUUCUCUCUGACUACCUAUCGAUUUGAGGAUGAUAGGUGGUGCUGUAGCUUCUUGAAAAGCUACCCAAAACUUCGAAGUAAAUCGGGGGUCAUGGUUAGAAAUGAUACUAACUGGAACUCCCUGGUACUUAACCACUUCAGAGAUGAACCGUUCGGCUAACUGACUUAACGAGUAAUUCUCACGAACGGGAAUAAAGUAUGCUGACUUGGUAAGCCGAUCAUACCAUCAUAACCAUCAUAACCAUUUCGUGUACGAGGUAAUUUGUAAAUGAAAUCCAUCGUAAUAUCUUCCCAUUUCCAUUGGGGUAUUGAGAGUGGUUGUAUCAAUCCAAAUGGCUUUUUUAUUUCCGCCUUAAUUUGCUGGCAAACUGCACAAGACUAACAUACUCUGCAAUUUCUCUUUUCAUACCUGGCCAAUAAUAGAAAUGUCAGAUGGUAUGAUACAUCUUGAUACUCCCUGGAUGCAUCGCAUAAGCAGAAAUAUGCGCUUCAUCCAAUAUGUCUCUCUUUAGUUCCUCAACAUUCGGUACAUACAUCCACUCACCUUGCAUAAGCAUGCCAUCAGGAUCUCUAAUCCUGAGGUCUUUCUUUUUCAUGUCUGACAUAGCCUGUAUCAAUUCUUGAGAUUAUGUAUUGUUCUUCUGGGCUUUGAGAACACGAUUUAGCAGAACCGGUCUGACCUAAAAACUGGCAAUUAAGGCUCCCCGUCGCCCCGCUUUCAACGCUACUCCAGUGGAUCUUAGAUCAGUCAAAAGAGGAAUGCGACUUGCAUAAAGAGCAUUAAGUUAGCCAUGAGACUUCCUACUAAGAGCAUCAGCUACUGAAUUGGCACAACCUGGGUGAUACUCAAUGGUGCAGUCCUAAUCACUGAGCAACUCUACCAACCUCCAUUGCUGAAGAUUAAGAUCUGGCUGAGUGAAGAUAUACUUAAGGCUCUUAUAAUUAGUGAAGAUCUUACACUUUUCCCUAUAAAAAUAGUGCCUCCAGAUUUUUAAAGCGAAAAUGAUUACUGCCAACUCGAGAUCUUGAGUAGGAUAAUUCCUCUCAUAGGGCUUUAACUGCCGCGAUGCAUAAGCAAUCACCUUAUCAUGCAGCAUUAACACACAUCCAAGACCAUUCAAAGACGCAUCACUGUAGAUCUCAAAGUUUCCACCAUCAUCGGGAAGUGCUAAGACAUGUGCAUGAGUGAGAAGGUACUUCAAUUGCUGGAAACUCUGUUCACACUCAUCACUCCACAUAAAUGGAACAUCUUUUCUAGUCAAUUUUGUCAGAGGUAGUGCUAUGGUUGAAAAGUCUUUCAUGAAGCGUCGAUAAUAGCCAGCAAGACCAAGAAAGCUUCGAACUUCCGUAACUGUCUGAGGUUGUUCCUAAUUCUCCACAGCCGCUACUUUUUGAAGAUCCACAAGCACACCCUGAGAUGAUACCACGUGCCUUAAGAAUGACACUUGAUCUAGCCAAAACUGACAUUUGCUGCACUUAGCAUACAACUGAUUUGCCCUUAACAUCUUUAGAACCAAACGCAAAUGUUUGGCAUGAUCAAUUUCAUUCUUCGAAUACACCAAAAUGUUAUCUAUGAAAACAAUGACAAACCUGUUGAGGUAGGGAUGAAAUACUUGAUUCAUCAGGUUCAUGAAAGCCGCUGGUGCAUUAGUCAAUCCAAAUGGCAUCACAAGAAACUCAUGAGGACCAUAUCGAGUUUUGAAAGCUGUCAUUGGAACAUCGUCGCUUCUGAUCUUCAAUUGGUAGUAACCAAACCUUAGGUCAAUCUUCGAGAACACACAAACACCUUUAAGCUGGUAAAAAAGAUCAUCAAUAAGAGGUAACGGAUAACGGUUUUUAAUCGUCACCCGAUUCAACUGCCUAUAGUCGAUGCAUAACCUCAAAGUUCUAUCUUUCUUCUUUACAAACAGAACUGGAGCUCUACAGGGGGAAAUGCUUGGCUGAAUGAAACCCUUAUCAACCAACUCUUGUAACUGAGUUUUAAGUUCCUUUAACUUUGCAGGAGCCAUACGGUAAGGUGUAAGGAAAAUAAGAUUAGUACCUGGAAGUAGAUCGAUGGUGAACUCCACUUCACGAUCUGGGGGUAAGCUAGGUAAUUCCUCAGGAAAAACAUCGGGAAAGUGUCUAACUACUCUGACGUCUUCCAUAGAUGCAGUAGUUUCUUCGGUUAGCACAACAUAAGCUAAGUAACCUUGACAACCUUACUCAACAGUCGCCUCGCCCUCAUGGCAGUGAUAACUCUAUGCUUGAGACCACCACGUUCACCAACAAACAUGACAGUAGGUAUGCCUGGUCGGUGAAAAGUAACAACCUUCUCAUAACAAUCCAACUUAGCACGAUUGUAAUCUAACCAGUCCAUGCCUAAGAUAACGUCAUAAUCAAUGAUAUCCAAAGGGACAAGAUUGGCCAACAUGACUACAUCUUCGACAAGGAUCCGACAUCCUUGAUAUUCCCAACCAACAUAACAGAUUUCACCCCUAGGCAUUGAGAAUUCCAACUCGUAGCCGAGUGAAGUAGGGUGUGGUUGAGUCGUUUGAGCAACCUUAUGGGAAAUAACUGAAUGUGUAGCACCAGAAUUAAUUAAAACUUUAGGAAAAUGGCCUUGAACAUUCAACGUACCCAUGAUCAAGUUCAAAAAAGCCUGAGCAUCUUGAAGGGUGAUGUUGUUGACUCUUCCCUGAACUUGCUACCUACCUCCACAGCCUCUGUUUACUUGAGUCUGAUUACCUCGACCCUGAUUACCUCGGCCUUGAUGGGGUAGGUUUGCCUGUCUGCCUGAACCUCCACUGCUAGACGCUAUGUCUAGAUUCCAAUACUGGAUUCCAGUAUACAUCUGUGCUCCACCACCCUGAUACGGUGUAUAGUCUCCUUGAAACUGUGGAUAACCUCCCUUAGUCUGCUGAUAGCCUCCCUGAUAGUAGGGAACCUCAGGUAUGUACAGGUAUGGUCCUUCCUGAUACGGGCCUACGUCCCAUUGGUAGUGGAAAGCUCCACUGUAGCCUGUCUGCUGACGAUUACCAGGUGUUAGAAACUGCAGUAGGGGGAUUGCAGGUGGUAGAUUAGCAGGCUGAUUUUUCUAAUUCUGAGGACAAUUAUAGGCCAUAUGCCCUGUCUGUCUGCAAGUGAAACAACAUCUGUUUCCUCUCUUACACUUGCCAGAGUGAUAGGUGUUACACCUGUGACAAAAUUGAACACCUGAACUGCUGGUGUUUCCUUGAUUCUAAAAAUAAGAACCACCAGUGGAUCUGCUUCUUCUCUGAGGUGUACCAGAGUUAGAAUCCUUGCUCGACGAUCCAGAGUUGUUUCCACUCUUUUUAAAAUUCUGAGCCCUUCUUGGACCAAGUGAUGAUUGCCCUAUGUUACUGUACCUCUGGGCAUUUUUGCCAACAUCCUCAUCCUCAUCGUUAGGAUCAUUCUCCAAAUCUUCAACCUGAAGCAAGACUUCGAAGAAUUCUUGAUACAUAGCACAAGGAGUGGUGGUUGCCAUAGAACACCAUUUCUUACAAGUUCAUCUCUUAAACAAACGAAGCAUCUCCCGAAGUUUAACAACAAUCUCGGGGUAAUAACAAGAUAAGUCUAUGAACUUUCGACGAUACUCAGUAGCUGACAUCUUACUCUACCUCAGAUCUGAGAACUUAUCCUUCUUAAGAUCCAAAUACUCCGGAAGAACAAAUCUAGUAUGAAAUAUCCACUUGAAAACAUCCCAAUUCAUAGCAUCCUCAUUAGAUAAUGGUUUCUUCUCCUGAUCCCACUAAGAUUCUGCUCCUAAACGAAAGAACCAGGUCGCUGUUUCGACCCAUCUCUUUAUGGGAAAAUUACCCUGUCAAUGCAUGACUCGAAAGGUCUUCUCAACAUGAUCGAACCAUAUCUUUGAUUUCUUUGGCCCUUCAUUAUCAAAGAAGUCAUUAAUCUUUAGGCAAGAUACAAUGUCCAGAGUAUUCCUUGGGGUUGGAUGGAGUGAAGACUGAAUAGCAUUGGCAAUAGCCUCACCAAACUGUCCAAAAUCCGGAAAGUUAUUCUCAGUAGAAGGACGUGGCUUUCUAUGAGGUGUCAUAGUUCUGACAUAAGAAAACAAGAGUUAAAACACACCAGGAAGUGCAGAACUAUCUAAACCUAUGCUAUGAUACCAAGAUGACACACCUCGACCUGGAAAGGUCAAAGGACGCUGUCCAUCACCGUGAGGUGACGUAACCAUAAGGGUAAGUGAUGUAAAAAGUGAAUAAUUUCAAGACUAAUUGAAACUAAUUUUACUAAAUAGUGAAAGAGCGCGCAAUCAAGGGAAGAACCUGCUACAAUUAUUCAUAGUGUAAUAAAUAGUGAGACUAUAGAAGAGUAGUCAAAGUAACUAAAGUACACUUAUUACAUAAUAGUGAUAAGUUCGUACGUCUAAACAGAAGAGAAUGUCAGAACUGCCAAGAUUCCUCGAGUACCACAAAAAGUACAGCUAUCUAGGACUUGGAGGGGCGAAAAACAAAGUUGAGUGGGUCAGCAAAACAAUGCUUAUACAAAAUCCUUUAUUUUUGAAUAUACUAAUCCUUCACCGUAAAACAAGUAUGGUUUCCUUAAAACAUACUACGUAGGUAUGUAAACAAUAAAUCAACAACAUUAUAAUAGUAUUAUAACCAGAAAUAUGCCAAGUCAUUAUGUAUCACGUGAAGGUUGGUGCAGGAGCACGGUCACAAACAAGUCGGAUUGCCUAAUGCAAUCUACCUGACAGGACUAGCACCUAACUUGGAUCCAAGGAGAGCGAACGGUGCGAUGUGAACAUACACAUGAAGGACUAGCCCUGGCCUUGAGGCGAGUACUAACACCUAUGCAGCAAGAUGAGCAUGUCCAAAUAUGUAUGAAUGUCAUGACAAUAAUAUCUUAGCCAUAUAGCAGCAUUUAUCAUAAUUAUAUCGCAAUUAUCAAUUAUUUGGAAAUAUAUACGUAAACUGAUGUAUUUAUGCAAUUUUGGAAACUAUAAAUACGUUUAGAUAUAAAAAUAAACUGCCCACUCACAAGUACGUUGCUGGGUCGUAGCCCCCGAGCCAAGCUUGGCCUCGAAUGUCCUCGAGAUACGUUUCCCCUAUAUGUGAAAUAACUAAUUUCGAAUUAAUUAAAGCACAUAUACGUAAACCUAAAUAAAACCCCCAUAAUUUGCUCAAACCUAAAGUUUAAAUAUACCAUUGUGACCUACUCGACGUCACAAACAUCCCCAAAUUUUUAAAAUAAUUUUUGGAUAGCUCACGUGCCCUCACGCAGGCACGUGCCGUCAGUGUGACUGACGCCAUUAGGAAUAUUUCGUUAAAUGCUAACAGAGAUUAACGGCGUUACCUGAUGCCGUCAGGAAUAUUCCGUCAACUCUGACGGAUUAUUCCAUCACCUUCUUCGAUUGUCCUCGCCGUCUCUGCCGUCCACGCCGCCGUUUGCAACUAAAUUUUCGUCGGAUUUCUGGGAAAAUUUCAAAUUAACAUAAUAUCUUCGUUUCUCAUCCAUUUUUAACCCACUUUAUAUGGAUUUGAAGCUAAUGAAGUGUAGAAUGGCGUUGUACCUGUUUAUAGUCCAAAAAGUGGACGGAGGUCACCAGAAAAAACCUCAAAAGUUUCAGCCAAAAGUGAACUUGUUGAAACUCGAUCAUUUCAUGUCAACCUUCUUCCAAAACAAGCCUAGGACCCUUAGAAUGUUGUGUAGAAGCCUUCCCAAGCUUCAAAACAUCCUAACUCGUUCGAAAACACUUCGAACUCAGUUUGCCCGAGUUAGGACCUUCCGAGUUAACGAGUCAAAACUCGUUUAAACUAGGUUUCAAGGACAAGGUUGUGAUCGUGAGACUGAGAUGAGUACAAUGGGGUAAUUUUUAGGUUCGAUCUGAGAAGUUUAGGGUUCGCUCAAGGGGGUUUGCAGAGAGGGAGAGUAUACGGGAGAGAGAGAGUGAGAGGGGAGGAAGAGAGAGAGAGUGUCCCUUUUUCUCUUUUUCUGAUUGGUGGACAGAAAUGAGGGAGAGAUGAGAUUGGUUGAUUUGAGGUGAAUUGAGGAGAUUGAUUGGUGAGUAUAAUAAAGGGGGAUAGGGCGCACGGGUAGGCUUAGGGAAUCCAAGGAUAGGGUUUUGGAUUUUCUCUAUUUAAAGGAAAUCGAAGUAUAUCUGAAAUAGGUAUUUCUACACUGGUAAAAUCUAUGUAGUCUCGUAAUAACGUGCACAAUUUAUUUAUGAAGGCAAUAAAAUAAAUAAGGAGGAAAUAAACACGUCCACGUCAUUCGCCACUAAGUGCAUAACCGUCAAUACACAUACUUGGGGAGAAAUUACAUAGGAAAAUUAGAGACGGGUCGUCACAAUGCAUUUAUCUGGCACAUAUAUGUGUUGAACUACAAUUAUAAUUUGUUUCAAAGUGAUAUUAGUUUUUCCCACAGUUAUAAUUCUAAAUUAAUUUUCUUUAUAUUUAUUGAACUACUAACUUAUUUUAAUCCUAAUUAAACAUCUUACUCCUAAUAUUUGAGUUACUUAGAAAGCAGCUUACAUAAAACUUAGUCACCGUUACGUGACACUAAGGUUUUAUAAUUUAUUGUUAUGUAAAAAAACUUGCACAUAACAAUAUACUAUUACACAAAAACAUCAUAUGAUGGUAAACUCAUAUCAUGUAAGUCUUCUUAAUACAUACUCUUUUGAUAGAAUUUCUUUGAUGCUUGAGGAGGUCGUCAAACAUAAAAUAGUGUAUAUAUGUCAUGCCGGAUGAUAUAA